GGAGUACGCCGGAUGACCGCGCCCCUGAGGCCCCACCGGCUUUUUGGGGUGAGGAAAGUCCGGGCUUCACAUGGGCAGGGUGCAGGAUAACGUCCUGUCGGGGCGACUCGAAGGAAAGUGCCACAGAAACAUACCGCGCGACGCCUCGCGGCGUCGCGCAAGGGUGAAAUCGUGAGGUAAGAGCUCACGGAGCUCUGCGGUGACGCAGGCUCGGGUAAACCCCACCUGAAGCAAGACCGCUCGAUCUGUGGACGGCCCGUCCGCAACGAGCUACGUCGCAACGAGGCGUUCGGUAACGUGCGCCCCAGAGAGAUGGUCAUCACCCACGUUUCGUGGGGACAGAAUCCGGCUUACAGGCGUGCUCCGCAC
rnacentral:RNase_P_RNA from 1 species